AUUCCAGAUAGGUAAUCUAUCUCCAGUUAAUAUUACUACAACCUCAAGCAAACAUGGCUUCUUGCAGCAGAUAAAUGUCUAUUUUAGACAUUCUAUGCGCAAAUCACAACUAUAACUAACCAUGGAAAUUUGCAGCAAAGUCAAAGGAUACAGAUAAUAACUCAUCAUUAUCUUCGGGUUCCAGUCUAGGACAUUUCUCGCUAUAUUAUCGCGCGGUCGGCAUAGGAUACGAUCCAACAGAUCCAUUUUCUCUUCCGGAUUUCUAUAUCGACGGGGAAAGUGUUUGUUCUUGUUUGCAAUUCUUUAUUUGAAAUACGGUUUGGCCAGAAAAUUCGAAGCAUUUGUCGUAGGCAGCCAUUUAUGGAAACUUGGACUUUAUGGAUAGUCGCUUGUGUCAAGCAACUUGGACAACCAUAUAAUAAAAUCGAUUUCACACUACUGUUGAA